AUAGGAUAGAAGAAUAGAAUAGAACAGAACAGAACAGUACAGAACAGAACAGAAUAGAAUAGAAUCGGCAUACAAUUAAAAUGAAAUUUCCUUGCAUUCAACUCUCAAAGGGUCUCCAUUUGUAUAUUUAGACUACUUGUACAUCUAUUCUCCCCUGUCCCGUUUUCUCUUCACAGGUCCUUGCACUCCGAGAGGAAGGUUCCAGAAGGUUGUCGGUUCCUCAUCCUGGAGACAGUGAACGUUUUCCGGAAAUACAUUUCCAUCUGGGACGCUCCACUCAGCGGCUACCAAAACCAGGAUGUUCUCUUUAUAGCGACGGAAAAAGAAGCAGAACUGGCCAAGAGAGCAAUGCGGUGCCACCACAGUCAGCUGCUCUGGUUCCGCCGUCUGUACGUGAGGUUCUCCCGCUACAUGGUGGUGAACUCGCUGUGUUUCCUCUAACGGAGGAGCUGGAGACCCAGAGAGAAAAAAAGGGAGGAAGAUGUGACUCUCUAGGUCCCGGCCGAGCGGAACAAUCUAGCAGGACCAAGAAGAAGGGACUUCUCCGUGGAAGAAGGAAAUAAGAUGUUAUGGCUCUCCUCUCUUAAGGAGGUCCAUCUGGUGGGACCGAGAAGGGCCCUCUCUGUGGCGGCUCCAUCCACGUGGAACAUCAUACCUGUAGUGGUGGGUUGCACAGUAUAGUAGUACCCUUUUUUUUUUUUUUUAAAUUUUUGAUCUAUAUGCCGCCCUUCUCUGGAGACUCAGGGCGGCUUACAAUGUGCUCAGCAAUAGCCUUCAUACUUUUGUAUAUUUAUACAAAGUCAGCUUAUUGCCCCCACAAUCUGGGUCCUUUGCAGCGCGCAUGCUCGCUUUGUACGUUCGUGCGCCCGGUUCACACACGCACCUGCCCUCCGUGCAUGCACUUUCCUCGCCGAGCCUCAAAAACAUCUCUAAUAGGACGACAGAGUAGGGGCAGGUGGGCAGGCCUACCCAUGAUUUCUGUUACCAGUUCAGGCGAACCGGUGCGAACCGGCUGAAUACCACCUCUGCAUCCCUGUGGAAAUAAGAUGUUAAGGCUCUCCUCUCUUAAGGAGGUCCAUCUGGUGGGACCAGGAAGGGCCUUCUCCGUGGCGGCUCCCUCCACAUGGAACAUCAUCCCUGCAGUGGUGGGUUGCACAUUGUGGUGCUACGGUUCGCCGUGCGCAUGCUCGCAUCGUGCCUGCGCACACCUGCCUUCGUGCAUGCGCUUGGCCUUCUGUGCAUACACCCGGUCUCAAAAACAUCCCUAAAUAGGACGACAUAGAGCAGGGGCAGAUGGGCAAGCCCAGCCGUGAUUUCUGCUACCAGUUUUGGCGAACCGGUCUAAACCAACUGAAGAUGUUACGGCUCUCCUCUCUUAAGGAGGUCCCUCUGGUGGGACCAGGAAGGGCCCUCUCCGUGGUGGCUCCCUCCCUGUGAAACAUCAUCCCUGCGGAGAUACUGUUACUGUUUGGAACUGUUUAUUGUGGAUGACUACAACGACUGGUAAGAAGACUUUGUUAUUGGAUUAUCCCUGGACUAUUGUUUAACCAUCUACUGCUUUAUAUGUGAAUGACCUGGACUGUUUAUUGGACUGUGCCUUAUUACUAUUUCCUGAAAGUAAAUGUCAAGUUUCUGAAAGAUGCCCUAAUUAAUUCAUGAGCCAUGAUCCAAACUUCAAAGGAAAUAUAGUCAUUUAUUUGGAGCAACAUUCCGGCAAUACUGGGAUGCAGUUAGGACUGAUCCCACGUAGAUUUACGUUCCCCUAUGACCCUGUCUCUCCCCUCCUCUCUGGCCAUGUCAUAAAUCACAUUCUCCAAUUACCCACUUUGGCUGGCUGUGAAACCCAACACCCUCCGACUGAUUGCGGUAAGAAAGCAUCUAUGGAAUGCAGCUUCAGUUAGGGAAAUCAAUCAGCUCUAUCAGUUCUCCCUCCCUCCUGCUCAUGGCAACUUGAAAGCUUUGCAAGUUGACAGUAAACACAACUCAGUAUA